rnacentral:rRNA from 3 species
GAACCUGCUGCUGGAUCAUUACCU